rnacentral:rRNA from 1 species
CAAUAGCGUAUAUUAACGUUGUUGCAGUUAAAAAGCUCGUAGUUGGAUUUCUGGAGGGAGCGUCGGCCCGUAUUUACGAGUGCGUGACGUCUCUGUCCAUCCUUGCGGGAAGGCACGGCAUUGAUUUGUUGUGUCGGAUCGCAUCAUUUACUGUGAAAAAAUUAGAGUGUUCAAAGCAGGCUUUCGCUUGAAUACAUUAGCAUGGAAUAAUAAGAUAGGACUUUGGUGUUAUUUUGUUGGUUGAGCCUAAAGUAAUGAUUAAUAGGGAUAGUUGGGGGCACCUGUAUUGCGUUGUCAGAGGUGAAAUUCUUGGAUUUACGCAAGACAAACAGCUGCGAAANCGNNNGCCAAGGAUGUUUUCAUNAA